rnacentral:rRNA from 1 species
GAUGAACGCUGGCGGCGUGCCUAACACAUGCAAGUCGAGCGAUGAAGUUUCCUUCGGGAAAUGGAUUAGCGGCGGACGGGUGAGUAACACGUGGGUAACCUGCCUCAUAGUGGGGAAUAGCCUUCCGAAAGGGAGAUUAAUACCGCAUAACAUCAUUAGAUGGCAUCAUUUAGUGAUCAAAGGAUUUAUUCGCUAUGAGAUGGACCCGCGUCGCAUUAGCUAGUUGGUAGGGUAAUGGCUUACCAAGGCGACGAUGCGUAGCCGACCUGAGAGGGUGAUCGGCCACAUUGGGACUGAGACACGGCCCAGACUCCUACGGGAGGCAGCAGUGGGGAAUAUUGCACAAUGGGGGAAACCCUGAUGCAGCAACGCCGCGUGAGUGAUGACGGUCUUCGGAUUGUAAAGCUCUGUCUUUGGGGACGAUAAUGACGGUACCCAAGGAGGAAGCCACGGCUAACUAC